AACGAACGCUGGCGGCAGGCUUAACACAUGCAAGUCGAGCGCCCCGCAAGGGGAGCGGCAGACGGGUGAGUAACACGUGGGAACGUACCCUUUACUACGGAAUAACGCAGGGAAACUUGUGCUAAUACCGUAUGUGCCCUUUUGGGGAAAGAUUUAUCGGUAAGGGAUCGGCCCGCGUUGGAUUAGCUAGUUGGUGGGGUAAAGGCCUACCAAGGCGACGAUCCAUAGCUGGUCUGAGAGGAUGAUCAGCCACAUUGGGACUGAGACACGGCCCAAACUCCUACGGGAGGCAGCAGCGGGGAAUAUUGGACAAUGGGCGCAAGCCUGAUCCAGCCAUGCCGCGUGAGUGAUGAAGGCCCUAGGGUUGUAAAGCUCUUUCACCGGAGAAGAUAAUGACGGUAUCCGGAGAAGAAGCCCCGGCUAACUUCGUGCCAGCAGCCGCGGUAAAAC
rnacentral:rRNA from 1 species